UACAGAGGGUGCGAGCGUUGUCCGGAAUCACUGGGCGUAAAGGGCGCGUAGGUGGCCUGAUAAGUAGGGGGUGAAAUCUCGAGGCUCAACUUCGAGGCUGCCUCCUAAACUGUCAGGCUUGAGCAGAGUAGAGGCAGGUGGAAUUCCCGGUGUAGCGGUGGAAUGCGUAGAGAUCAGGAGGAACACCGGUGGCGAAGGCGGGUCUCUGGGCCGAAACUGACGCUGAGGAGCGAAAGCGUGGGGAGCAAACAGG
rnacentral:rRNA from 1 species